rnacentral:lncRNA from 10 species
CCACUCUGGGAGGUAGCUAUUACGACUUCCGUUUGAAGACACUGAACCCAGCUACCCAGCAUCAUUACACCACUUACAAAACCUUGGGCAAUUACCACAGUACUCUAAGCCUCAGGCUCCUCAUGAAGAAAAUAAGAGGGGCCAUUCAAAGGACUAUUGCUCACUCUGGCUUCCAUGGUGAGAAUGUCUGUGAGAGUGAGAAGCGUGAGAAGAGCAAAAGCAGAGAGACCAAUUACGAAGAAAUUACAUUAACCUGAGCAAGAAAUUAGUGUGGAAGCAGUGAAGAUGGUGGGAAGUUGCCAGAUUCUGGAUGUGUUUUGAAACUAGAAGCAAUAGGAUUUGCUGGUGAAUUGAUGUAGGUGUGACAGAAUGAAGAAAUCAAAGAUGACCCCCAUGUUUGGGGUCAAAGGAAUUGGAAAAUUGGAGUAGCCAUUUACUGAGAUAGAAUAGAAAGAGCAUGUUUGCAGAGAAUAGGAGCAAAUUAGAAGUUCAAUCCUGGAAAUGUUGAAUUGAGAUGCUUAUUAGACACUCAAGUCAGGAUGCCUUGUAGACAACUGGAUGUUUUAGUCUGGAAUUCAAGGGGGAGGCUGCAACUACAUAAAUUAACUCAGAAGUUGUCAACACAUAAGCAUUAUUUAUAAGUGAGUAUAGAUAAAAAAGAGGAAUGUUAACACAUAAAAAGCACUAAAAAUGUGAAAUGAAUAAAUGAAUGAAUAAUACUGAGAUCCCAACUUACACAACAAUACUAAAGUUUCAUAUGAGUAUCAUUAGAGAGAUUUCAUUCUUCACCAUAUUCUCUUAUGAAAAAUCUGUUUGCAAUUCUUCUUUCCAAUGACACACUACUAAUGAAAUUAUUUAUGAGGCUAAUAUAGACAUGGGCAUACAAUUAUCUGUUUGAAUAUUGAAUUACUAACGUCUUAUUAUUCCGUGCCUUAGUGGCAUAUACAGUAUUUGCAAAAAAAAAAAAAAAAUCAAUACAUCAAUACGAUGAGGCUGUCAACUGUUAGAUGGCUAUCACUGCUAAAAGAGGUAUUUCAGCAUAUUAAAAAUUUGUCACAUCCUCACAUGAUGGCUAACAGUUUCCAGUGUGCUUUAUCAUCCAUUAUCUCUGUUUGACUUUGAACCUCAUGACAUCCAAAUACUAGGCAGGUCAGUGUUAUUAUCCGUGAUUUAAAUUUUGAGAAACUAAGGCUCAGGAGGUGAAGUGAUUUACUUGAGCUGAUGAAUGGGUCAUCAUGGUUUGAAUCCUGGUAGUCCAAGUGACUGCUCCUCUUCAACUUGCCACCUUUCUGAAAAGCCCGAGGUCCUGCUCAUCCUUAGCUGCUGAUAUGGUUUGGCUGUGUCUCCACCCAAAUCUUAUCUUGAAUUGCAGUUCCCAUAAUCCCCAUGUGUUGUGGGAGGGACCAGGUGGUGAUAAUUGAAUCAUGGGGGGCAGUUCCCCCAUCUUGUUCUCAUGGUAGUGAGUUAGUGCUAACGAGAUCUGGUUGUUUUUAUAAGGGGCUUCCCCAUUAGCUGGGCAUUCAUUCUCCUUCCUGCUGCCAUGUGAAAAAGGAUGUGUUUGCUUUUCCCUUCCACCAUAAUUGUAAGUUUCCUGAGGCCUCCCCAG